GCGGAUCUCUUAAAGCUGUUCUCAGUUCGGACUGCAGUCUGCAACUCGACUGCACGAAGCUGGAAUCGCUAGUAAUCGCGGAUCAGCACGCCGCGGUGAAUACGUUCCCGGGCCUUGUACACACCGCCCGUCACACCAUGGAAGUCUGCAAUGCCCGAAGCCGGUGGCCUAACCACUUAUGUGGAAGGAGCCGUCUAAGGCAGGGCAGAUGACUGGGGUGAAGUCGUAACAAGGUAAC
rnacentral:rRNA from 1 species